ensembl:lncRNA
AACAUUUAUUGAGUAAAUGAAUGUCUUCUGAUUAACACCAUAUGAAGAUCAUCAAAGGAACUGUGGAUCGGAGUUCUGCACCACAUCAUUAUUGUGCACGCAUGGAUCCUGUGGAUGUAUGCACAUGACACCCUAGAAGACAGCCAUUCCGAGUGGAUGGAGAAAGUGUCACUGGCUCUCCAGGCCCUCACAUACAUUGUCCUCAACCAUUGCUGUUUAAAAGACAUCCAGAAAUACCUCAGCUUCAGGCGAGCGGAAGAUCGGGACCGGAGUCGGGCUCGAGCAUGGCAGCGCAUCUCCCCGUGACACUCCGUCGCAGUCCGAGCCUCAGGUGUUUACCAGCCUGUCACUUCAUAAUCUGCCAUCAGAGGAACAGGGAGGUGAAGUAGCCAUGGACACUCUGGGGCAAGCAUCACGAGCAGAUUGUGGUUGACACGAUUGUGGUUGACAAGUAUCCCUACAACUGAGGACAGGACACAGACAGCACAGUUGAUC